ACGCUGGCGGCAUGCCUAACACAUGCAAGUCGAACGAAGUGCCUUCGGGUACUUAGUGGCGCACGGGUGCGUAACGCGUGGGAAUCUACCCCUUGGUUCGGAAUAACAGUUGGAAACGACUGCUAAUACCGGAUGACGACGUAAGUCCAAAGAUUUAUCGCCGAGGGAUGAGCCCGCGUAGGAUUAGGUAGUUGGUGUGGUAAAGGCGCACCAAGCCGACGAUCCUUAGCUGGUCUGAGAGGAUGAUCAGCCACACUGGGACUGAGACACGGCCCAGACUCCUACGGGAGGCAGCAGUGGGGAAUAUUGGACAAUGGGCGAAAGCCUGAUCCAGCAAUGCCGCGUGAGUGAUGAAGGCCUUAGGGUUGUAAAGCUCUUUUACCCGGGAUGAUAAUGACAGUACCGGGAGAAUAAGCUCCGGCUAACUCCGUGCCAGCAGCCGCGGUAAUACGGAGGGAGCUAGCGUUAUUCGGAAUUACUGGGCGUAAAGCGCACGUAGGCGGCUUUGUAAGUAAGAGGUGAAAGCCCAGAGCUCAACUCUGGAAUUGCCUUUUAGACUGCAUCGCUUGAAUCAUGGAGAGGUCAGUGGAAUUCCGAGUGUAGAGGUGAAAUUCGUAGAUAUUCGGAAGAACACCAGUGGCGAAGGCGGCUGACUGGACAUGUAUUGACGCUGAGGUGCGAAAGCGUGGGGAGCAAAC
rnacentral:rRNA from 1 species